rnacentral:rRNA from 1 species
UUUCGCAAUGCCCGAAAGGGUGACGAAGCGACGCCGCGUGAGUGAGGAAGGCCUUCGGGUUGUAAAGCUCUGUCAGGAGUUAAGAAAUAUAAGUGUGUUAAUACCACAUUUAUUUGACGAAGGCUCCAAAGGAAGCCACGGCUAACUCUGUGCCAGCAGCCGCGGUAAUACAGAGGUGGCAAGCGUUGUUCGGAAUUAUUGGGCGUAAAGAGCACGUAGGUGGGUUUGUAAGUCAGAUGUGAAAGCCUUCUGUUCAACGGAAGAAUUGCAUCUGAAACUGCGAGUCUUGAGUGUAGGUGGGGAGAAUGGAACUUCUGGUGGAGCGGUGAAAUGCGUAGAUAUCAGAAGGAACGCCGGCGGCGAAAGCGAUUCUCUGGCCUAUUACUGACACUCAGUGUGCGAAAGCUAGGGGAGCAAACGGGAUUAGAUACCCCGGUAGUCCUAGCUGUAAACGAUGGGCACUAAGUAGAGGGGUUUUA